rnacentral:piRNA from 1 species
AAAAAGUGUAAUUUUUGAAAAUUUUGAAAAUACUUUAAGCAUGAUCCAAAUGAAAUAUUAAUUGUAAUAAUGGUAAAAAUAAGUGUUGAAAACAUUAUAAAAGAGAUACAUUUUAAAAAUAAAUUCAAUAUAUAUUUUAUUAUUAAAUUUAGAAAAAAUCAAAAUUUUAUUCAAAAAAUGAAAAUCACUCCAACUCAAAAAUGAUCCAAAAAUAAAUUUAUAUAAUGAAAAUGACAUUUAUUUUUUAAAAAAUGAAGUAAUUUAUAUAUAUAUACAAUAAUUUAAUGCGAUAAAAUAAUUUUUAUACCUUAUAAUAAUCUUUUAUUGUAUGGUACAGUUUGAAGCAAUCACCAAGGCAUAGUGGAACUAGGCAGGUCUCACAUUCAUAGGCUGUAUCUUUUCUUGCCUGCUUGCCAGUGGUUACCCUGCCUUUUUCAGCGCAAACUUUGCAUCUGCGUUGGGCAUAUGUUUUGCCUUCAACUUUGAUUCGGCGAAUAAAAUGACGUCUAAUAAGUGGAUCAGAUUGUUCACCGCUUGAAGGUUGAGCAUCAAGAAUAUCUUGAUUGGCUUCUGAGCAAAGAGCUUCGCAUAUUGAAAUAUGGAAGUCCCUCAAAGACAUUUUAGCAUCAGGAUUCAAUUAAUUGUAAAUUAUGCAUGAAUUUACAAUAGCAAGUCCAUAUAUAUGGAAAAAUAGUUUCUUCCACCAUUUCAUUGUGCGUCGAUCAAAAGAAUAAUAGGAGAGCAUCUGGUCACUUCGGUCCACUCCAAUUUUAUUCUUAUUGUAGUCAAGAACAACUUGUGGUUUGAAUAUUGGAGCUUGCGAAAGUCCAGGUCUCCCCAUGACUUCAACCAUUUGAUGGUCGUGAACAGUUGAGAUCAUCCAAACAUCUCUGGUGUGGCGCCAUUUCAUUGCCAUUAGGCUACCCUUGAAUAGAUGCAUUUCUUCACCUUUCUUCAAUUUUUUUGAAAAGGAUUUCUUAGGAAGACCUUUCCUAUUAGUUUUUACUGUACCAACAGCCAUUGUAUUCUUUUCCCAUAGAUAGUUGAAGAGGUGGGGCGAAGAAAACCACCUGUCACAAUAAAUGAUGUGACCUCUGUUGAAGAGAUGAGAGGCCAAUCGUUCUACCAAAUUUGGUAUAGAGUUAUAGCCUUCUUCCUGGCUUGGAUGUUUACCUGUGUAUAUGUUGAUAUUACAGGUAUAACCAGAAUUGGCUUCACAAAUAUGGUAGAUCUUUAUUCCAUAUUUGUGAGGCUUGCCUUUUAUGUAAAUACGGAACCUUAUUCUUCCUCUGAAUGGACAAAUAGCUUCAUCAAUGGUCAGAUUCUGGGUCGGGGAAUAAAGGCAUUGGAAUUUUUUGGUAAGAGGAUCUAGAAAAGUUCUUAUUUUAUAUAGAGGAUCAUGUCCACUUUGUCCAAAAGGAAUAUAGGAAGAAUUAUCAGCCAGGUGAAGCAUUGACAAAAUUGCUUCGAACCUAUUUCUAGCCAUUAUUUUUUUACAGAAUCUUGAUCUUAAACUUCUCUUCAUUAGCAGUUCCGCCGGGGAAUUCCUUUAUUACAGUUUGGGGGAAUGCUCGAUGAGCAAAUAGGAAACUUUGUAGAUUCGUCUCUAAAUCAUCCUUCCCAUUAUUCUUUCUCAAAAGGUUUUUAAACUCUCUUACAUAUCUCUCAGCUAAACCAUUUGUACUAGGAUUAUACGGACUGGUCUUAGUGUGCCGUAUACCAUUCAUUUUGGUAAAUUGCUCGAAUUCACCGGAGACAAACUGUCUUCCGUUAUCUGUAACAAAAAAUUAGGGCAAUCCAAUUCUGGCGAGAAUUUCUCUAAGAUGACUUAUAAUAGUUUUUCUGGUAAUAUCUUUGAUGAUAAAAAUUUCUAUCCCCUUUGAGUAUGCGUCCACGAGAACCAAAAACAUUCUUCCCAUGAACGGACCCGCUAGAUCAAGAUGAAGUCGAUGCCACGGUUUUUCGGGCCAAGUCCAUUCCGAGAUGGUAGCCGGGGGCAUGCUUGCCGAUUCUUGGCAUACUCUACAUUCUCUAGUUAACUCCUCGAUGUUACUGUCUAUGCCUGACCACCAGAAAAUACCGUCUGGCAAUCAUCUUCAUUUUAACAAUCCCCAUGUGUAUUUCAUGCAAGUCAUUUAAAAUUAAAGAUCUUAAUUUUUGGGGAAUUACCACUCUUUCACGCCAUUGAAGACAACCAAACUCCAAAUUUAAUUCCUCAUUGAUCUUAUAAUGAGGAGCUAGUGGGUUUUCUCUCGGUACCCUUGUGAAUUUCCACACACACAGUGGCCUUCUCUAACAUUCCUUAAUACUAUAGACAGUGUUUUAUCUUGGGGCGUCUCAUAUGCCACCUCCAUAAAAGAGAACGGUACCUCAUUCAACUUCCUAAGAAGAAGUACCUGGUCUUCAUCAAGAGACUCCCUGACACUCGAUUCUAAAGGAAGACGUGACAAUGCGUAACAUUGGAAUUAUCACUAGUUUUUUGAAAUUCCACAGUUUAAUUAAAUGCAGCUAAUUUUAAGGACCAUCUUUUAAUUCUAGAUAAUACACAUAUGGGAAUUGGUUUAUGAGGUGAAAAUAUAUGAAUUUAAGGGUCGGUUGUCUGUGACCAAUACAAAUUUUCGUCCCAGUAAGUAUUUUCUGAAUUUCUCAACGCCAUAAGUUAUGCUCAACGCUUUCUUUUCUAGUUGAGAGAAACGUUUUCCGCUUCAGUUAGUGUUCUAGAAGCAAAAGCUAUAGGGCAUUUUACCUUUCUAUCAUUUAUAUGACUCAGAAUUACGCCUAGUCCAUAGUCCAUUAAUAAUGAUUUACAUUUUUCAAAUAACAUUCGAUAUUCUUUCGUCCAAUUCCAUCUACAAUUUUUAUUCAAAAGUUGAUAGAAUAGCGCUAAAAUGUUUGCUAUAUUCUUUAUGAAUCUAUUAUAAUAAAUUAAGAGUCCUAUGAAAGAUCUUAAUUGCGAAACAUUAAAGCAGUGAUAGAGGCGCCUGAACCUAAAGAAUUUUAUUUUCUAAGGGAUGCAUUCUAUAUUUAUCCAUUUUAAACCCUAAAUAUUCCACCGAUUUCUUUUUAAAUUUACAUUUAUAUCUGUUUAACUUUGAACCUUUUUCUAGAAAUCAUCUAAACACUAGAUCCAACUUUUGUUCAUAAUCUUCAAAGUCUUUUCCUGCAACCAAAAUAUAAUCUAUGUAGCAGGCCACACCUGGCAAAUAAGCAAAUAGAACUUCCAUAAUCCUCUGAAAUUUAUUUGGUGCUGCCGCUACGUCAUAUGGUAGUCUUUUAUAAGAAAACAACCUCUUUGUUACGUUUAUAUCAACAACAGCUUUGGCUUCUUCCGCUAACAUUACUCGUAAUUAAGCCUGUGAUAGGUCUAGAGUCGAAAGUACGGUGCUUGUAGAUAAUUUUGAAAAUAUCUCAUCGAUCGAUGGAAUGGGAUACCUAUCAAAUUCUAUUGCUUUAUUAGCUGUACAUCUAAAAUAACCACAUUUACUUACACUACUAUCCUUUUUUAAUACCGGGACUAUUGGAGCGGUCCAAUAUGCUUGAACUAUUCUAUAUAUAGUUACGAGCGUCAUUCCUCAUCUCCUAAUCAACAAUCAGUCAUCAGUUUUCAUCUCUGUCACCGUUUGCUUUUUUUUUGGAAUGGCGCCCUCCUAUUGGUUGGCUACGGUCACGCCACCUUUGCCCCCCCCACUCGCCUUUUCGUUUAUGUAAUUAUUGUGUUGGUGCGGGUCGCUCCUUAAAUAAAUGCAUAUAUUAGUUAAUAACCAAAUGGAAUCCUCUCUUUCUUUUUCCCUGUAAGAGACGCCUACGGAAGCCAACAGUACAUAGACAAAUAAAGCACAUAGGCUAUAGUUAUUAACUAACAUAUGCAUUUAUUUAAGGCGCCAAUUUAUAAUUGUAACAAAUAGUAUUUGAAUCAAAACAUUCUAUCGGGUAAAACACGGGCGUUGCCCCGGUCAUUCGGCUAGUAGGUUAUAAAAUGCAAGAAUUCACUAAACGAUCAAUUUCAUUUUCUACUUUGUUUUUUAGAGAGAAAGGUAAACUUCUGGCCUUACAAAACACAGGAGUCAUAUCCUUUUUUAAAUUAAAAUUUAUUUUUACAUCCUUUAGACAGCCUAAAUCUUUGUGUUAAACAAAUGUGCAUAUCUAUCAAUCAAACUAUUUCUAUUAGAUUCAUUAUUUAAAUUUUUAAUGCUAAACAAUCUCGAAUAAUCAAGUUUUAACUGUUUAAGCCAUUCUUUUUCUAACAAAAUCACCUGGAAUUUUCAUUUAUAACUAUUAAUCGUAAAUAUUGGUUGGCUUUUUUACA